CGAGCACUAUAUGGUGUUCAUGAGCACCUUGUUGAAAAUCAUUUUUUGUUAUUUUUUUGUGUAUGGUUUUGAUCACUGAAUGUUGUAUGUUGUAUGGUUAUGUAAGGUUUUUUAUUUCUGAUUGAAAACUGAUGUCAUUUGGAGUGUGUUUGAGCUUGUGCUUGGAAGUUUGAUGAUUAUGGAUGCAAGUUUGUUCAUGUUCCAAACACCAUAAGUUUGCAUUGGUCUUUUGUAUGCAGUAGGUGUGUGUGAGUUUGUAUUCAAUAAUG
rnacentral:lncRNA from 1 species